rnacentral:rRNA from 1 species
CCUACGGGUGGCAGCAGUGGGGAAUAUUGGGCAAUGGGCGCAAGCCUGACCCAGCAACGCCGCGUGAAGGAAGAAGGCUUUCGGGUUGUAAACUUCUGUUCUCAGGGACGAAGUAAGUGAGGUACCUGAUGAAUAAGCCACGGCGAACUACGUGACAGCAGCCGCGGUAAUACGUAGUGGGCAAGCGUUAUCCGGAUGUAUUGGGUGUAAAGGGCGGGUAGGCGGGUUCGCAAGUCAGAUGUGAAAACUCAUGGCUCAACCCUGAGCGUGCAUUUGAAACUGUGUUUCUUGAGUGCUGGAGAGGCAAUCGGAAUUCCGGGUGUAGCGGUGAAAUGCGUAGAUAUACGGAGGAACACCAGUGGCGAAGGCGGAUUGCUGGACAGUAACUGACGCUGAGGCGCGAAAGCGUGGGGAGCAAACAGGAUUAGAUACCCUGGUAGUC